GAUGAACGCUGGCGGCGUGCCUAAUACAUGCAAGUCGAGCGAACGGACGAGAAGCUUGCUUCUCUGAUGUUAGCGGCGGACGGGUGAGUAACACGUGGAUAACCUACCUAUAUGACUGGGAUAACUUCGGGAAACCGGAGCUAAUACCGGAUAAUAUUUUGAACCGCAUGGUUCAAAAGUGAAAGACGGUCUUGUUGUCACUUAUAGAUGGAUCCGCGCUGCAUUAGCUAGUUGGUAAGGUAACGGCUUACCAAGGCAACGAUGCAUAGCCGACCUGAGAGGGUGAUCGGCCACACUGGAACUGAGACACGGUCCAGACUCCUACGGGAGGCAGCAGUAGGGAAUCUUCCGCAAUGGGCGAAAGCCUGACGGAGCAACGCCGCGUGAGUGAUGAAGGUCUUCGGAUCGUAAAACUCUGUUAUUAGGGAAGAACAUAUGUGUAAGUAACUGUGCACAUCUUGACGGUACCUAAUCAGAAAGCCACGGCUAACUACGUG
rnacentral:rRNA from 1 species